rnacentral:rRNA from 1 species
UGACGACGAGGCGCUAAGGCGUUGAAGCAGUGUACGUCAGACUUCCAAGAAAAGCUCGCAAUGUCAUAAAUAAAAAGUGCCUGUACCAUAACCGACACAGGUGGGUAGGUAGAGUAUACUAAGGGGCGCGAGAUAACUCUCUCUAAGGAACUCGGCAAAAUGACUCCGUAACUUCGGGAGAAGGAGUGCCUUAUUUAUAAGGUUGCAAUAACAAGAUCCAAGCAACUGUUUAUCAAAAACACAGGUCUCCGCUAAGUCGUAAGACGAUGUAUGGGGGCUGACGCCUGCCCAGUGCCAGAAGGUUAAAGAAGUUGGUUAGUGUAUGCGAAGCUGAUGACUGAAGCCCUGGUGAACGGCGGCCGUAACUAUAACGGUCCUAAGGUAGCGAAAUUCCUUGUCGGGUAAGUUCCGACCCGCACGAAAGGCGUAAUGAUUUGGAUACUGUCUCGGAGAGAGGCUCGGUGAAAUAGACUUGUCUGUGAAGAUGCGGACUACCUGCACCAGGACAGAAAGACCCUAUGAAGCUUUACUGUAACUUGAAAUUGGAAUUGGACUUUGCUUGCGCAGUAUAGGUGGGAAGCGUUGAAGAUAUUCUUGCGGGAGUAUUGGAGCUAUCAGUGAGAUACCACUCUUGUAAUGUUAGAUUUCUAACUUUGAACCAUAAUCUGGUCAAAGAACAGUUUCAGGUGGGCAGUUUGACUGGGGCGGUCGCCUCCCAAAUGGUAACGGAGGCGUACAAAGGUUUCCUCUGAACGGAUAGAAAUCGUAUCUAGAGUGUAAAGGCAUAAGGAAGCUUGACUGUGAGACCUACAAGUCGAGCAGGGACGAAAGUCGGUCUUAGUGAUCUGACGGUACUGAGUGGAAAGGCCGUCACUCAACGGAUAAAAGUUACUCUAGGGAUAACAGGCUGAUCUCCCCCAAGAGUUCACAUCGACGGGGAGGUUUGGCACCUCGAUGUCGGCUCAUCGCAUCCUGGGGCGGUAGUACGUCCCAAGGGUUGGGCUGUUCGCCCAUGAAAGCGGUACGCGAGCUGGGUUCAGAACGUCGUGAGACAGUUCGGUCCAUAUCCGGUGUAGGCGUUAGAAUAUUGAGAGGAGCCUUCUUUAGUACGAGAGGACCGAGAAGGACACACCGCUGGUGUACCAGUUAUCGUGCCAACGGUAAACGCUGGGUAGCUAUGUGUGGAGUGGAUAACCGCUGAAAGCAUCUAAGUGGGAAGCCCACCUCGAGAUGAGUAUUCUCA